rnacentral:lncRNA from 1 species
CAUGCCUUUUCUCCUCUCUCUUUUCCUUUCUAUGCUCAAGAGUUGAGCGUCCCCUCUUUGACACGUCAAGAGGUGCUGCUUUGUCUUCAAGAGUGAAGAUCGAAAAGAAGAAGAAGAAGACUGCUGAUCAAGGAGUUGAUCUUGCAGUCUAGAUCUAGAUAUUGAUCAAAGUGUUCAAGAUUAAGGUUCUUCUUGAAAAAAAAAGUCUUCUAUUAGCAAAAAUCAGAUCGAGAUUGAUCUCGAUGGAUACUCAUAGAGGUCGGACACGUAUGCGGCUCGAGCAUCUAUGAAUUCAUGAUCAUCAGAA